AGUCAACAUGCCCAGAGGACGUGGAUAACCUUGGGAAACUGAGGAUAAACCGCGAUAGGUCAUAAUAUCUGGAAUGAUUUAUGAUUUAAAUCUAUAUGGCCUCUGGAUUGGACUGCGGCCGAUCAGGCUGUUGGUGAGGUAAUGGCCCACCAAACCUGAAACCGGUACGGGCUCUGAGAGGAGAAGCCCGGAGAUGGGCACUGAGACAAGGGCCCAGGCCCUAUGGGGCGCAGCAGGCGCGAAAACUCUGCAAUAAGCGAAAGCUUGACAGGGUUGUUCUGAGUGAUUUCCGCUAAGGAAAUCUUUUGGCACCUCUAAAAAUGGUGCAGAAUAAGGGGUGGGCAAGCCUGGUGUCAGCCGCCGCGGUAAUACCAGCACCCCGAGUGGUCGGGACGAUUAUUGGGCCUAAAGCAUCCGUAGCCGGUUCUACAAGUCUUCCGUUAAAUCCACCUGCUUAACAGAUGGGCUGCGGAGGAUACUAUGGAGCUAGGAGGCGGGAGAGGCAAGCGGUACUCGAUGGGUAGGGGUAAAAUCCGUUGAUCCAUUGAAGACCACCAGUGGCGAAGGCGGCUUGCCAGAACGCGCUCGACGGUGAGGGAUGAAAGCUGGGGCGCGAACCGGAUUAGAUACCCGGGUAGUCCUGGCCGUAAACGAUGUGGACUUGGUGUUGGAAUGGCUUCGAGUUGUUCCAGUGCCGAAGGGAAGCUGUUUAGUCCACCGCCUGGGAAGUACGGUCGCAAGACUGAAACUUAA
rnacentral:rRNA from 1 species